UUUCCCACCUUUGUGGUUUUAUCUACCUUUGGUCUUUGAUUAUGGUGACGUACAGAUGGAGUUUUAGUGUGGAUGUCCUUUUUGUUUGUUAGUUUUCCUUCCAACAGUCAGGACCCUCAGCUGCAGGUCUGUUGGAGUUUGCUGGAGGUGCACUCCAGACCCUGUUUGCCUGGGAAUUGGUCCAUUCAUCUAAGUUGUUAAAUUUAUGUCUAUAGAAUCAUUCAUAGUAUUACCUUAUUAGAUUUGUUAUGUUUGCAUGAUCUCUAAUGAUUUGGCUCUCUGUUUGUCUGUUAUUGGUGUAUACGAAGGCUUGUGAUUUUUGUACAUUGAUUUUGCAUCCUGAGACUUUGCUGAAGUUGCUUAUCAGCUGAAGGAGAUUUUGGGCUGAGACAAUGGGGUUUUCUAGAUAUACAAUCAUGUCAUCUGCAAACAGGGACAAUUUGACUU
rnacentral:lncRNA from 1 species